UGGAAUGGGCGGGCUGUGGUGGGGGAGCCGCAAGGCUCGCCGGCUCGUUAGAACACCGGUCUUCCAAACCCGCCACGUGCCCGCUCACCACC
rnacentral:antisense_RNA from 1 species